GUCUGCCCUCGAGGACUGGACUGGUUCAUAAGAGAGCAAGCCUGCCUUUCUCUGGUCUCCUGCUUCCUGCUUUACCAUGGUCUCUCCCUCUUGAGUUUGUUCCUGCCAUGAUGCCAUCUGCCAUAUUGUAAUGGAGCCAGAAAUUCUUCACCAGAAGUGAAACAGAUGACCGAAUCUUGGGAAUUUUCACCUCUGCAACGCUGAAUUGAAUAAACUUCUGGACUCAGCCCCAGCUCUUUUGUUACAGUAUUGGGAAAUGGGGUACAUCAAAACACAAACCUGAUGUCUUCUUUGAACAAUUUCCAACACUGAGUUAUUUCUCUUGGAGCUGAUACUGGCUGGAUAAUCGGACUUCCCCCAGUGGUGAAAUCCUUGAAGAUCCAAAGGCUGAGGAAACGUUACUGGGGAGAGCAAGGACAGGAAGAGCUGCGGAGGUCAUCCUUAUUCCCGAGACAGUAGUGCUGGGGGACAAAUACCAGGACAGCAGUGAAAUCCCGAUGCUGCAGGACAAAGGAGACGGAAGAGAACCAUCCUAGCCUGCCAUGAUUUCCACCUGUAUCCCACGAGAGGACACUGAGCAAGUGCUGCGACCUCUUCCUGGGCAGCGUGGCUUCUGAUACACUGACAGAGAAACUGUAACCAAAGCAGAGAGCUGCCCUGGCGCCCAGCAGGCUGUCCUGCAGAUAAGCAUCACUGGGCUUGUCAGCUCUGUGCUGUGAGUUGUGCUGAUAGGCACAUGGAGGUCUCACCUGCGGCAGGGAUGCGUGCCCGAUGCCUCGGUGGGCCAGCAUCGGUGGCCUUGGAUCUACACUCAGUGACACUGAGUAAUCUCAGCUACCAGUAAGCGGGGCAUGGAGCUUCGUGGGCCAGGAGUCUCUGUGAUAGCCGCGGUCAGGUUCUCAGGUGAGCAGGAGGCCUCCAGGGCCAGCUCGCCUUUCAGGCUGCUCGUCGGGAAAUGUGAUACUUGCCUCCAGUCUAGGCAGGGACUUGCCCAGCCCCCAGGGCCCCACACUCUCCAGGCCUUGGUAAGGUUCCAGAGCCUGGCGCUGGCAGCCUGCAGUUAGGGGACACUGUCCUCUGGGAAGGUUGGUCCAAGAGCAUGGGACUUGGUCCAGUGUGGUUGUCCAGGACCUUGGACCUCUCCUAGCCCCCUGGACUUGGGAUUUCCUCUUGAACCCCUCUGAAUGUCCCAAAAAGGAUCAAGGAUAGGGGUGUUUACUGAAAGAGUGGUAUUAUCAGCUGAACAGUAACAGGGACAUCGCUGUAUAUUAGGGUUUGAGAAAUUUGUAGCCCUUUGGAUUUAUUCUGUGCAGCACCCUGGCAGACAUCAGCACUGGUAACAUUCCCUUUUGCCAAGUACAAAGGAAAAGAAAAGAAAAAAGAAAACUACUUAAAAUUUUUUAUUGUGUAUAUAUCACAAAAUAUACCAUUUUAACCACAGCUCAGCGGCAGUAAGUACACUCACGUUGUUGUUUGGUCACGACCUCUCUCCGUCUCCAGAAUGUCUUCCUCUCUUCAAACUGAGGCUCUGUGCGCCUUGAAUACUAGCUCUCCACUCCUCCUCCUCUUAACCCUUGGAGGUCACCAUUCUACUCUCCGCAUUUGAAUUCAAAACUGUUUGGAGAAGGCACAUUCUGGCUCUCGACAUUGUUGUUGAUAUUUCUGUUCCAGCUGGCCAGCCAGGCAAGAGACUAAGCAAAAUCCUAGUCAUCAGACUCUUAGAGUGUUUUCUGCCUUGACUUCUGUCUGUCAGAAAAGGUGUGGGUGGGGGAUUGGAAGUAUUUGCAAGUUGCACAAUCUUCCCCAAGCAUUCUGUGUAGAUGCAUAUUGAUACUCAAUAUAAUGAACAGUCUAAUAGCAGCACCAGUCAUCCAUUUUUGUGAUCCUUUCUUUCAGCUGACUACAAGUCUUUUAAUGACGUGGACCAGGCCUUGUUUAUUCUUGUAAUCUCACCUCUGAGCAGGAUGUCAGGCAUCCAGGAUUACUGUUAACAUUCUGCAGUAGACUAUGACAAGAAGAGAUUGGGGAAGAGAAGGAUGAGACACCUGGCCUGCGGGCAGAGAGACGUUCGGGAGAACGCUCCCACAUGCCCUGUGCUGGCUUUGACGUUUUCUUCAAAAAGUAGGGACCAGAUUGAUAAAUGUUGUUAUAAAUUAGUUAAGCUGCAAAAUUAACAUUUGGUCAAUGCCUUUUUAGUAUUAGAUGAGAACCGUAUUCUCUGUUUCUCAGAAAAAUGCCUUCCAAUACCCACGCACAUGAACUCAUUGCCUUGGUAGAUUCCCAAACUCUGAGCUGAAAUCUUGUUGCAAGGCAUAAACAAGCAACCUUUUAAUUUUCCUCUGAGUAGCUUAGUAGAGUGUUACUGAUUCUUGAGAAAUUAGACUCAUUCAUAGGAAAAUGGAUACAUAUUGAGGAUAUACUCCUACGUGA